UAAAUUAUUACUAAUAACCAGUCAGAUCUACUAGAAAAAGAGAACAGAUAUUGAGAAUUUCUGUUUCACUUUUACGAACAUGAAAACAAAAUAUAUUCGCAUGUAAUGUAAUUCACAUUACAUUGCAAUGACUGAUUUAAGUAAACUGUACGAUAUAUAAUGUGCAGAUUGAUUACUUUUCUUUUUUGUGGAUUAUUAAAAGGAAAAGUUCUUAAAACAUAACAUUUAAAUAUAUACUAUAGAUUUAAAAUAACAUGUCGAACAGUAGGUAUAAUACCGCCAAACGUGAUAACUUUAUAAAUAAAAUACAAAAAUACAUAUCAGAAAGUUAGAAUCCUAACCUCAAAUGAUAGAAAACUCUACUCAAGGCUAACAAUAUAAAAAAGUAGCCGUUAAUUUAUGAUGAAUCGAUAAUUAAAGCAUAUUUUCCGUGAACAGCUUAAAUAUAAUGAUAAAUAGAAAUGAGAAUAAAUGGAAAUUUUACUACUGACAGUAAAACUCAAAAUGAUACAAAGGAUACAGAAAGUAAUAUUUUGGCAAUGAAAUAAUAUCUUCUACUAACAAAAAGAAGAUAAAAAUUUUACUAAUGAUAUAGGUUCGAAUAACGAAUCUAAAGAAGUGCAUGCAAAUAAUAUUAAAGAAACAUUAUCCAUGAAGGAUAAUCAUCAAUGUUUAAACAAGAAAAAGUAUUGCCAUUUAUAGAUUAUGUUGCUGAAAAUGGGUAGUGAGAAGAAUACGUAAAUCUGAAAAGAAAUGUUGCAAAAUAUGAGAGUAAAUAUUAAAUAAAUAUAUCAAAUGAAACUUAUGAAAACAAGGUUACAAAGGAUUUUUAAAAGAAUUUAAUAAAUGCAUGGUCAAUCACUGAUUAUCAAAUAUUGCAUAAUAUAAUUGGUUGGAAAAGCUUAUUUUACUUGUCAAUUAUAAAUACAUACAAUUUUAUUAAGAUAAUGCAUUGUCCUACUCAGUUACAGACAAGUAAUAUUUAAAAGUUAAAUAUUCGUAUAUUAUUUGAGAAAUAUUACAUCAUUACUGAAUUUUCUGAUCAAUGAUAAUUUACGAAAUGAAGUGAAUAUAAUUUUGUUUGAAUUCAAAAAUCUGAGUUUAUCAUCUGACUUAACAUUCAGAACCGAUUUUAAAAGUAAAAUAAUGUGUAAAGUUAAUUUUUUAAGAAUACUCUAUAAUUGCAAAAGAAAUUCACAGAAUUAUGUCAUUGUAAUUACUGUAGAACAGUAAUUUAAAUUAUAUAAUUCAGGAAAAGAUAUCCUGCAUAAAACAUUGUUUGAAGAAACUUUCGAUAAAGUAUCAACAUCAGUAGUACUAUUAAAUUGUUUUCUUAAUUUUUUAUAUAAAAACAGAAAAUGCAUGUUGAAUGAAAUUCAUAUAAAAAAAUUAACAAAUUUACUUAUUAAUUAUUUGACAUUGAAAAUAAUGCCAAACUUGAUUAAUUAUAAAGAUGAAACAGACAUUCUUUUCAAAUAAUUUGGAAAGAGUAUUCAAAACUCAUUAACUUAUGUAACCCUACACAAUACAUGUAUUCAGAAUUAACUGGAACUAAAAAAUAUUGCUACAAGUACCUGUAAGUAUACUUGAUAUUAAUUCAGAUAAUUAUAAUAAAAAAAUUGUAUGAAAGAACUAUUUAAGUUAUGUUAUG